CAGAGGUGGCAACAGUUGCUCGGAAUUACUGGGCGUAAAGCGCGUGUAGGUGGAUUGGUGUGUCAGAUGUGAAAGCCCUGGGCUCAACCCAGGAAUUGCACCUGAAACUACCAGUCUUGAGUGGUGGAGAGGGAAGUGGAAUUCCUGGUGUAGAGGUGAAAUUCGUAGAUAUCAGGAGGAACACCAGUGGCGAAGGCAGCUUCCUGGACACCAACUGACGCUGAGGCGCGAAAGCUAGGGGAGCAAACGGG
rnacentral:rRNA from 1 species